UUUUAUGGAGAGUUUGAUCCUGGCUCAGAGUGAACGCUGGCGGCGUGCCUAAUACAUGCAAGUCGAACGAUGAAGCUUUUAGCUUGCUAGAAGUGGAUUAGUGGCGCACGGGUGAGUAAGGUAUAGUUAAUCUGCCCUACACAAGAGGACAACAGUUGGAAACGACUGCUAAUACUCUAUACUCCUGCUUAACACAAGUUGAGUAGGGAAAGUUUUUCGGUGUAGGAUGAGACUAUAUAGUAUCAGCUAGUUGGUAAGGUAAUGGCUUACCAAGGCUAUGACGCUUAACUG
rnacentral:rRNA from 1 species